UACGAAGGGGGCGAGCGUUGUUCGGAAUUACUGGGCGUAAAGGGCGCGCAGGCGGCGUACCAAGUCAGGCGUGAAAGCCCCGGGCUCAACCUGGGAAUGGCAUUGGAUACUGGCUCGCUAGAGUGCGGUAGAGGGUGGUGGAAUUCCCGGUGUAGCAGUGAAAUGCGUAGAGAUCGGGAGGAACAUCUGUGGCGAAGGCGGCCACCUGGACCAACACUGACACUGAGGCACGAAAGCGUGGGGAGCAAACAGG
rnacentral:rRNA from 1 species